rnacentral:lncRNA from 1 species
UCUCGGAUCCACACCAAGGCUAGGUGGCACAUCCUCUUUUAUAGAGGAGGAGGGCAUCCCUCUUUACUGUGUCCCAAAGUAACUGCAUCUCUGAUAAGAAAUGACAAGAAUGUGAUAUCUUUAUACUGAAACACAAACUCUUUUAACUCAAUCUAUUUUGAUCACCUUUUAAUGUUUUGAUUACUAUUUCCAAUAGCCCUCGUUAC